AGGUAUAUAGUAUAGUAGUAGCGCGUUAUAAUUAUACUAUAGAGGUCCUAAGUUCGAAUCUUAGUAUACCUA